CGGAGCGCGCUUCGCGCGACAGCAAAUGAAAGGAACGAUGUUCCAAGAAGAAGGAUACGUGCGCAACGUCAUGUACAACGACGUGUCAGCAGAAUCCACGUGCGGACUUUUGCGUAGUAUCUGCCUACCGUCAAUGAAAGGCGGCUAUUACAUCGUGCACGCCGCGAUUUCCAAGGCGUCGGGCUCCAUCCUGGCUGGUCAUUGCCUCUGCCCCGCAGGCCUGAGCGGCACAUGCCAACAUUUUGUUGGGUUAAUCCUUCAUGCCAUUCACUUGGCGCAAAAGGAUGCGGCAACGUGCACGGAAGUUCCAUGUGCUUGGAUUGUUCCUGCCCAAGUCAAAAAGCAUGAGCCACCUCUGCCUCUGCAAGACAUCACUUUUCACACAAGGAAACAUGAAGGUGCGAAAAGGCGGCGGUUUGAUCCACUGCCAGGGCUCUCACCGAGUGACCCAUCUCUGCUUGCUGCCGAUCUC